rnacentral:misc_RNA from 1 species
CAACCCUCAAGCUCCGGCUUGGUGUUGGGGAUCGGCAGCCCGGCUUCGCGCCGACGCCGUCCCCCAAAUGCAGUGGCGGUCACGCUGUAGCUUCCUAUGCGUAGUAGCACACCUCGCACUGGAGAGCAGCGCGGCCACGCCGUAAAACCCCCUACUUUUUGU